GACACGUAAUAAAAAAAUCACUUAUAUGACUUCUCAAUCAAUAUGUAGUAGGUUUAUAUUUUUAUAAACAAUUUAUAACAUUUUGUAAAUUAUUUUAAAAUUCUGAUAAAUUUAUUCUUUAAACAACGAUAAAUAAUUUUAAAAUAAUAUUAAUAAAUGUUUUUGGAUUUUGUUAUAUUUAAUGGGGGAAUUUUACUUCUACACUUUCUUUGGUACCACAUUUCAAGUAUACCACUAGUAUGAAGACAUUUUCAUAAAUACACUUUUUAUUAAUGACCAAAAGACCAUACUAGCCCUAACCUUAUCUCUCUCUCGCGAUCCUCUUUUCUUCCUCUCUCUCUCGCGAUAUUUUUUCUUCCUCUCUGCCUCUGAUUCACCGGAGAUCCACCAUCUCUCUCUCGCGAUAUUUUUUCUUCCUCUCUGCCUCUGAUUCACCGGAGAUCCACCAUCUCUCUCUCAUUCCACCGGUUCUCUGCGGUUCACACUGUCGACUCCUACUUCUGUACAAGAUUCCCAACUGUUCCCGAGAAGCUGUGUUCAAGCUUAUAUGAGAGCCACAACCCUGCCAGCACACAUUUGCUUCGAUGUACAAUGCCUGCUUCUGCUGAUGGAUCUGGAAACUGAAAAUCGAAUAGCUUCGGUUCUGUUGAGAAAAGCAGCAGAGUUAAGGAAAUAAGCUGAAAAAGAUGGUGUCCGAGCUUAUCUUGAGAAGCAUAAUGUAAGGCAUCGACCUAACUCGAGGUUUCUCACAACAACUGUCCUUGGUGUUCAACAAUAGUGGUAGAAACCAAUGAGAUGUGGAAGGCUCAGGAGCAAGAAAACGAAAGGCUCAAAAGAAAAUCAAGAGAGGAAAGCAGCAGCAGCAGUAGCCAAAUGAAGCGGAGUAGUAGUUUCUCGAAAAGGAGUUUGGAUAAGAAAUGUAGCUCCAUUAAUGAGGAGAGAAAGAUCACUCAUCAAUCAUCAUUGGACAAAAGAUUGUACUUGGAUGAUGAUGAUGAAGGUUUAGGAGAUGAUGAGAAUUGAGUCUUUUCUCCAAUUACGGUAUAUAUGUCUAUUUGCUAUAGCUUUUGUUACCUUUAGCUUUCUUCAUCUUCUGAGUCUCUUUGUAAAUGACAGGAACAAACGUGGGAGAGGCUCUGUUGGUCCUAGGAUGGAUGCAACUGUCCCUUAUCUUCCCACCGAGAAGGUUGAUCAAUUGCAAAGUUCUGAUACAAGGGAAAGGAAGGUAGCCUUGCUGCAGCUUGGGCUCUAGCUAAUCUAUAUUAUCUUGCAUGUUAGAAACCUUUUAUAAGGGUUUAUAAAACUAUUUAUAAGAACUUAUAAAUCAUUUUUAGGGUUUUAAAAAUAUAUUUAUAAAAGUUUAUGAAUCUGUAUAUAAGGGUUUGUAAAAAUAUUAUAAGAGUUUAAUAAUCUUCAUAGCACAAUUUAUAAGAGUUAAUAAAUCUUUUUCAAGAGUUUAUAAAUCUUUACAAACAUUUAGAAGUAAAAUAUUCAUAAAGCUAUUAUAAGUGUCUAUAAUUCUAAUAUAAAUGUUUGUAAAUUAUUUAUAAUAAAUAAAAGAUUAUUUAUAAUGGUUUAUAAAACAAUUAAUAAGACUUUAUAAAAUCAGUCUAUAAGGUUUUUUAAAUAUAUUAUUAAAGUAUAAUUCAUUUAUAAGAGUUUAUAAAAUCAGUUUAUAAGGAUUAUAAAUAAUUAAUAAAUGUUUAUGAAUUAUUUAUGAAGAUUUAGAAAUCAUUUAUAAACCUUUAUCAAUAGUUUAUAUAUAUUCCUCUUGUGGUGGAAAACAGCGAGAUGAGGCAGCAGAGGUUCGUGGGGAUAUUGAGUUUGCUGUAUAGUUCUUAGCUAAGAAUAAGAGCGAGUGUCUCCAAGAAGAAUGGGGAGUGUUGGAGAAGUCUCCGGAGGCGGCUUUAGAUGUGGAUCAGACGAUCUUCGUGGUUGUGGCGGAAGACGUGGAGAGGAGCAAAACGACGGUGUUAUGGGCGGCAAGAAACUUCUCCAGCAAGAAGAUUUGCUUGCUUUACGUCCACCGUCCUGCUCGGCCUGCCUCCUGCAGUGAGAAUCUUCUGCUUCUCUUUCUCUCUGACUUAACUGUUUUGUGGAGAAUUAUAGAAUAUUUAUGGAUGUUGAAUUGUUCUUGAGUGUAGAUUUGCUCAUGAAUCAUGAUUGAAUCUUACCGAAUCUAUAUAUAUAUAUAUCCUUUAGUUGAUUGUGGAUGAUGUUAAUGAUGUACCUCUGUUUGCUAAGAAAAUCUGAGAAGUGAUAUAAUUGUUUUAUAAAGAAGAGGCAGAGAAACCAUAUCAAAUUAUAUGAUCUUAAUAAAAUUCUUAUAAGGCUUUAUAAAGAUAAUAAAUAAUUUAUAAAUGUUUAUAAAUCAUUUAUGAAAAUUCAGAAAUCAUUUAUAAACCUUUAUCAAUAGUUUAUAUAUAUUCCUAUAAAUGAUUUAUAAACCUUUAUAAAAUCACUUAUAAGAAUAUACCAACUAUUUAUAAGGUUUUAUAAAAUCAUUUAUAAAUAUUUAGAAAGGUAAUUUCAUUUAUAAAGUCUUAAAAAUCAUUUAUAUGAAUAUAUAGAAACUUUUUAUAAGGGUCUAUAAAUCAUUUAUAAGAAUUUGUAGAAUAUCAAAAGGUAAUUAUUUUAUGAAGUCUUAUAACAUUUUAUAGAAGCUUAUAAAUCUGUAUAUAAGGGUUUAUAAAAAUAUUAUGAGAGUUUAGUAAUCUUCAUCGUACAAUUUGUAAGAGAAAAUAAAUCUUUUUCAAGAGUUUAUAAAUCUUUUAUAAGAUUUUAUAAAUCUUUACAUUUAGAUGUAAAAUAUUCAUAAAGCUGUUAUAAGUUUAAAAAGUUUAAAAAGUAAAAUCGGUGAUAUAAAUACAUGAAGAUGCUCGUUACUAAUUUUCUUAAAAAAGAAACUAGAGUAAAUGUAAAGUACAAAUAAUUUACAGCUUACAAUCACUUAUAAGAAUACGUGUUACACAUAUAGAUUACAGAAAGACAUGUGUCUUGUUUCUCUUAUAUGUGUCAAGAACAUAUAUAUUACAUAUAAAAACACGUGUCCUCUCUCUCUUUCUGCAAUUCCAAUCUUCUUGAAAAUUGUGUUUCCCUCUGAAAACAUAAAAACAUAAGGCUAUAUAUAUAUAUAUAUAUAUAUAUAUAUAUAUAUAUAUAUAUAUAUAUAUAUAUUGUUUUACGGUUUCUUUUUAUAAGGCCUUAUAAAUAUAAAAAUUAUAAUAAAUACCACAAGCGGGUUACCUUUAUAAAAUCACUUAUAAAUUUUAUAAGAGCUUAUAAAACCUUAUAUCAACCAUCUAUAAAGUUUUUAAAACAUAUAUAAAUAUUUAUAAAACUAUUUAAAAGGGUUUAUAAAACUAUUUACAAGAACUUAUAAGCUAUUUAUAAGAGUUUUUACAUUUAUUUAUAAGUGUUCAUAAAUUAAUUUACAAGGUUUAUAAAUCUAUUAAUAAGAGUUUAUAAAUCACUAAAUUAACUAACUUUCCACCAUUUCUUUGCUUAUUAAAGAACAUCAUUUUUUACAGUUUCUUUUAUAAGGCCUUAUAAAAAGGUAUAGUUGAGCAUUGAGAUGAUUGAGCAUUGAGAGAUACUUGGGGUUUCUGAAUUUAUAAUGGUUUAUAAAAAUUUAUAAAGGGUUUACAAAACCACAAUGUUAGAUGAACGCCUCAGUUCUGCAGAUGCACAUAAUGUAUCCAGACCAGAUAUAGAGCCUUCUAGGACCUUUCUCACAGCAAUAGCAAAAGCUUGAUUGACAAGAGUAUAGUGGCUCUUGUUAUUGGCUUUUUCAUUUUCACCUACUUUACAGCUCCCCCCUGUCCCUCAACUUCCAACUUGAAGUUCAUGAAAUGGGUCUACGAAGUUAUGGAGAAGAAAGACCAAAUAACCAAAACAGCCUAUGUUUCAAAGAAUUUGUUCCAAGGUGUCAGUGUUUGAUAACCGAUGCCACAAGUUCAGACUUUGGUGGGUUGUCAGCUGGCUCGGAGCAUAAUCCAUAAGAGAGCUUCUGUAUGCUAAUAAGAGAAGUACACCUUGCAGGGAAUUCAACGCCAACCUAACCAAGCUUAAUUCCUAUUAAAAAGCAACAAAAUUGUCAGAGAAUGUGGCCAAAAGUAGAAGUAGUCUCAAUAUACCUCUUUCAUUUCAUAUAAGCACUAAAGAUAUUCCAUUGUUCUGUAAUUAAUUACUAAGAAUAGAAAUCUGAGAAUAUCACAUCGUAAUCUUCCCUAAGAUAAUGAUUUCGUCGUAACUCAAUACAGUACAUCGAGUACUAAACUCAAAUCAAUAAAAUUGAUACUUCUUUUUCCCCAAAUCAUUUCCUAUUAGGUUUCCGAUCCUAGCCACUCAAGCAAAAUGCAAAGCUCAUGUUUCCACGCAUACAAACAUGAAAAGCGUAAAUGGUGAACUUACAAAGACAAAGGAAGAAGACGGAGGAGAAGCACGAGUUGGAGGAGGAAAUUGGCAGCUCUGAGAAUGUAAGGACUCUCAAUUACUUGGUGGAAGGUAAAGCUCCUCCUGUUUGAGCUUCUCCAGAAGCGAAUCAACGCUCGUCGCCACUGUCAUUAUUUCUCAAUGGAGGAGAAAGUGAGAGAUCGUCUUGUUCGCCUGAGCUUGUAGAGUUUUUCAGCUUCAUCGGAGAAUUUGUCAGCGCCGUCAAAUCCACCAGAGAACUCGCCAGCGCCGUCCGGAGAACUCGUCAGGAUCGUCGGAUUUGAUCACCGUCGAAUUCGAAAUCAAUCUGGGAACUCUCAGAUUUGGAAUUGAGGAAAAAAAAGAGUAAUUUAGGUUUAAUUAUUCAGGGGUAUAUUGGUACUUUGUCUAUUAAAAUUUUAAUGGUAAAGUUGAAAAGUGGUAAAGUUGAAAAGUGGUAUUAGGAAAGUGGUUUUAGUGGCAAUUCCCCAUAUUUAAAAUAGUUAUUAUAUAACCAUAUUCGAAUACAAUUCAUCAAGUAGAGUAUAAAACUAUUACUAGAUUUUGACCCGCGCUUGAAAGUGCGGGUUCUUUUGUUAUAACAAAUUUUGAUAUGAAUUAGUAUUGUGUGAUUGUUUUACAUUAUUAUGUUACAAAGUCGAAUUAUAUAAAAGAAAUAAUUUUUAAAAAUAUUAUAUAAUUCAUGAGUUACUUUAUUUGGAAUUUUGUAUAAAUCUUAUGUAAUUCUCUUUUGCGCAUGGGUAUUUUACAUGGACCCCGAAAAACCAAACCAAAAUCAACUCGAAAAUUCUGGUUCGGUUCGCGUCGGAUCCAGAGAAAAAUACGUAUUUUUUUAGAAAUAUGGGUCUCUGUCCGCGUCUGGGACCUACCCAAAACCCGUUUGGGAGCCAAUGUACCCAAAAUAUUUGUGUAAAUUAUAUAUAUUUGUGUAUUUUGGAUAUUUUUUAGUAUACAUAUAUUUUUGAGUUUUGGUUUGAAUUUCCGGUUAUAGUUUUGGAUUUCGAGUAAGAAAUCAAAUUUUAAAAAUAUAUUUGGGUAUUCAAAUAAAAUUUUGAGUAUUUUUUGGUUCCUCGGCUCAGAUUUCAAGUACAAUUUUAGGUCUUUUGAGUAUUUUCUGAUUUUCAGGUAUUUGUUUAGAUUUUGGAUAUUUUUUUGUGUUUCGAGUAUAUUUAUGUUUAUCGAGUUUUAUUUGAGUCCUAAAUAUCUGAACGGAUCCAUACCCGUUACAUACAAAAAAAUAACAUAUAUUUAAUAGUUAUUUGAAUUAUGGAGUCGAAACCAUCAAGAUACGAAAGAAACCGAUCCGAACCCAAAUAAAUUUUUUUCUAAAUACCUAAUUAGGUCCAAAAAUCCAAAACCUAGCAAAAUUCAUUGAUUCGUUUUAUAAAAUUUUGGGUGAAAAAUACUCUCCAGGUUUGAUCUAUAAUGUUUAAUAGGACAUGGCUCAUUUAUAUUUCAAAAGUUGAUCUCGUAAGAAAACUUUGAUGUAAUGGAGGAGGAUGGUAUAUAUGACAACGACUCCUACGUAUUAAAAUUUUGGUGCCGUUUAUAUCAAAUAUAUAUAUGUUAAAUUGAUAGUCAUGAUCUUAUUAAAGUGGGUGAGAUUUAUUUAAAUGUUAGAAUAUAUUAUUUGGUUGCUAUAUAAUAGGGGAUAGUUAAUAAUAUUUAAUUGUAUACAAUAAGUUGGACUAAAAAAUAAAUAGGUGCAAUAACUUUGUAUCAGUAGAUUUUUUAGGACUCUUUCCCUUUUAAUAGUAUUGAUAAUUAUCUUAUAUAAAAUUUCGUUCAUUAUAUUUUAUAGUUUAUAAAUAUUGAAAGUAAUAAAUAAAACAUUAUUAAUCUUUCUAUAAUUUAGAGAAUUAGUUUCC